UACGGAGGGUGCAAGCGUUGUCCGGAAUCACUGGGCGUAAAGGGCGCGUAGGCGGCCCGGUAAGUAGGGGGUGAAAUCCUGCGGCUUAACCGCAGGGCUGCCUUCUAAACUGUCGGGCUCGAGCACGGUAGAGGCAGAUGGAAUUCCCGGUGUAGCGGUGGAAUGCGUAGAGAUGUGGAGGAACACCGAUGGCGAAGGCAGCCUUCUGGGCCAACACUGACGCUCAUGCACGAAAGCGUGGGGAGCAAACAGG
rnacentral:rRNA from 1 species